UGUGGGAGCGAGCUUGCUCGCGAUGGCGUCGGGUCACGUUGCAUUGAUGUGAACUGACACUCCGCUAUCGCGAGCAAGCUCGCUCCCACA
rnacentral:misc_RNA from 1 species